rnacentral:rRNA from 1 species
ACUAACAAGGAUUCCCCUAGUAACUGCGAGUGAAGCGGGAAAAGCUCAAAUUUAAAAUCUGGCGGUCUUUGGCCGUCCGAGUUGUAAUCUAGAGAAGUAAUGCCCGUGCUGGACCGUGUAUAAGUCUCCUGGGAUGGGGCGUCAUAGAGGGUGAGAAUCCCGUCUUUGACACGGACUACCAGUGCAUUGUGGUAUGCUCUCAAAGAGUCGAGUUGUUUGGGAAUGCAGCUCAAAAUGGGUGGUAAAUUCCAUCUAAAGCUAAAUAUUGGCGAGAGACCGAUAGCGAACAAGUACCGUGAGGGAAAGAUGAAAAGAACUUUGGAAAGAGAGUUAAACAGUACGUGAAAUUGCUGAAAGGGAAACGCUUGAAGUCAGUCGCGUUGGCCGGGGAUCAGCCUUGCUUUUGCAUGGUGUACUUUCUGGUUGACGGGUCAGCAUCAAUUUUGACUGCUGGAAAAGGGCCUGGGGAAUGUGGCAGCUUCGGCUGUGUUAUAGCCCCUGGUCACAUACAGCGGUUGGGAUUGAGGAACUCAGCACGCCGCAAGGCCGGGUUUCGACCACGUUCGUGCUUAGGAUGCUGGCAUAAUGGCUUUAAGCGACCCGUCUUGAAACACGGACCAAGGAGUCUAACAUGCCUGCGAGUAUUUGGGUGAAAAACCCGAGUGCGCAAUGAAAGUGAAAGUUGAGAUCCCUGUCGUGGGGAGCAUCGACGCCCGGACCAGAACUUUUGGGACGGAUCCGCGGUGGAGCAUGUAUGUUGGGACCCGAAAGAUGGUGAACUAUGCCUGAAUAGGGUGAAGCCAGAGGAAACUCUGGUGGAGGCUCGUAGCGAUUCUGACGUGCAAAUCGAUCGUCAAAUUUGGGUAUAGGGGCGAAAGACUAAUCG